rnacentral:rRNA from 1 species
GAUGAACGCUAGCUACAGGCUUAACACAUGCAAGUCGAGGGGUAACGAGAGGAAAGCUUGCUUUCCUUGUCGACGACCGGCGCACGGGUGAGUAACGCGUAUCCAACCUGCCCCCAACUAGGGAAUAACCUUGCGAAAGUAAGACUAAUACCCUAUAAUUUCCUCAGAUGUCAUCUGACGAGGAAUAAAGAUUUAUCGGUUGUGGAUGGGGAUGCGUCUGAUUAGCUUGUUGGCGGGGUAACGGCACACCAAGGCAACGAUCAGUAGGGGUUUUGAGAGGAAGGAGCGCCGCAUUGGAACGGAGACACGGGACAAACUCCUACGGGAGGCAGAAGUGAGGAAUAUUGGUCAAUGAGCGGAAGCCUGAACCAGCCAAGUAGCGUGCAGGAUGACGGCCCUAUGGGUUGUAAACUGCUUUUAUACAGGAAUAAAGUUAGCCACGUGUGGUUAUUUGUAGGUACUGUAUGAAUAAGGACCGGCUAAUCCCGUGCCAGCCGCCGCGGUAA